UAAGACAGAGGGUGCAAACGUUGUUCGGAAUUACUGGGCGUAAAGCGCGUGUAGGCGGCAAGGCAAGUCGGAUGUGAAAGCCCAUGGCUCAACCGUGGAAGUGCACCCGAAACUGCCUCGCUAGAGUCUCGGAGAGGAAGGUGGAAUGCUUGGUGUAGAGGUGAAAUUCGUAGAUAUCAAGCGGAACACCGGUGGCGAAGGCGGCCUUCUGGACGAUGACUGACGCUGAGACGCGAAAGCGUGGGGAGCAAACAGGAUUAGAUACCCUGGUAGUCCACGCCGUAAACGAUGAGUGCUAGGUGUCACGGGCUUUGACCCUCGUGGUGCCGAAGCUAACGCGUUAAGCACUCCGCCUGGGGAGUACGGCCGCAAGGCUA
rnacentral:rRNA from 1 species